GUGCCCACUUUGGCAGCACGCAUACUAAAAUUGGAGCAAGAUAGAGAAGAUUAGCACCAUUCUGCACAAGGACGACAUGCAAAUUCUUGAAGCAUUCCAUAUAAAA
ensembl:snRNA U6 U6 spliceosomal RNA